UGGGGAAUAUUGCACAAUGGGCGAAAGCCUGAUGCAGCGACGCCGCGUGAGGGAAGAAGGUCUUCGGAUUGUAAACCUCUGUCUUUGGGGACGAUAAUGACGGUACCCAAGGAGGAAGCACCGGCUAACUACGUGCCAGCAGCCGCGGUAAAACGUAGGGUGCAAGCGUUGUCCGGAAUUACUGGGUGUAAAGGGAGCGCAGGCGGAAGAGUAAGUUGGAAGUGAAAACUAUGGGCUCAACCCAUAACGUGCUUUCAAAACUAUUUUUCUUGAGUGGUGUAGAGGUAGGCGGAAUUCCCGGUGUAGCGGUGGAAUGCGUAGAUAUCGGGAGGAACACCAGUGGCGAAGGCGGCCUACUGGACACUAACUGACGCUGAGGCUCGAAAGCAUGGGGAGCAAACA
rnacentral:rRNA from 1 species